rnacentral:lncRNA from 1 species
UUUGGGAGAGAUCAAAAAGUUUUAGAACUUAAAAUAUUAAGGCUGAGUGAAAGAACAUAAAUCAUUUUUCUUUUAUUUCCUCUUCAAAAGUUUAAGGCUGAGCUUUACUUUAGAGUUUCAUUUCGUUUCUUUGAGUGUUCACAAGCAGAAAUACUAUCUUUCUUGCAUUUGCCUCACUUUUGCUUUAACUGUGAGUGCAUCUAGAGUGUUACCGGGUUUUCAAUGUGAUAUACCUUGGGUUUCUGUUGAUAUCUAUCUUCUGUAGCUACUAUUAUUCAUUUGGUGUUCCUGGGCUCCUUCUAUUUGGUUUUCAAUCUGCUACUGGGUUAUCUGUUAUUGGAUUCACUGGUUGUAUUGUUGUGUUGCUGUACUGCUACCGCUGUGAUUCUACUACUUCUACUGAUCCUCCUUGUUCUUUGCUUUUCCAAAUGCCAGGUACACACAAUUAAUACACUAGUUCAAUAUAGCUGAAAAUUGAAGUAUGAAUAAAAUGAAGUCUUAAAGCUUUGAAUUUAUUUAGUUGUAUUUUAUAUCUUAAGUUGUAUAUAUGUAGUUAUUAGUCUUCACUAGAAUCAUGUGAGCAAUUGGUCGUGUAUAACUGAGCACUAAACUGUAGUAGUUCAUAUUAUAAACUCCUUACCUUGUAUACUAGAUUAAAAGAACACAUGUUGUAGUAGUAAUGUUUUACCCCUUAUAUGUUUAAAGGCAUACUCCAAGUGCAUGUCAGGCUUUAGGUUAAUCAAUCAGUAGUUUAAACUAGUUUGGUUAAUAGCUUAUUUAUUUAGAUUCAUAAAAUAGGUUUUAUUAGCUGCUGAUCUCAUUUCUGCCCCAUUGUAAUAUCUCAAACGUGUAGUAUAAUGUAACUAAGCCUCCAAAUCAGAAUGGGACGGCCCAGGUCCAGUU